CAGCAGCCGCGGGAACACGGAGGGGGCUAGCGUUGUUCGGAAUUACUGGGCGUAAAGGGUGCGUAGGCGGUUAGUUAAGUCCGUCGUGAAAUCCCCGGGCUCAACCUGGGAAUGGCGAUGGAUACUGGCUGGCUAGAGUGUGUCAGAGGAUGGUGGAAUUUCCGGUGUAGCGGUGAAAUGCGUAGAGAUCGGAAGGAACAUCAGUGGCGAAGGCGGCCAUCUGGGACAACACUGACGCUGAAGCACGAAAGCGUGGGGAGCAAACAGGAUUAGAUACCCCAGUAGUCCCUGUCUCUUAUAC
rnacentral:rRNA from 1 species